rnacentral:rRNA from 1 species
GCAACGCGAAGAACCUUACCUGGUCUUGACAUCCCGGAGACCCUUAGGAAACUAGGGGGUGGCUUCCAUCUGGAAGAAUCUGGAGACAGGUGCUGCAUGGCUGUCGUCAGCUCGUGUCGUGAGAUGUUGGGUUAAGUCCCGCAACGAGCGCAACCCUUGCCUUUAGUUGCCAGCAGUUCGGCUGGGCACUCUAAAGGGACUGCCGGUGUUAAACCGGAGGAAGGUGGGGAUGACGUCAAGUCCUCAUGGCCUUUAUGACCAGGGCUACACACGUACUACAAUGGCCGAUACAAAGGGCAGCGACACUGCGAGGUGAAGCCAAUCCCGUAAAAUCGGUCUCAGUCCGGAUUGGAGUCUGCAACUCGACUCCAUGAAGUUGGAAUCGCUAGUAAUCGUGGAUCAGCAUGCCACGGUGAAUACGUUCCCGGGCCUU